rnacentral:rRNA from 1 species
GAUGAACGCUGGCGGUAUGCCUAACACAUGCAAGUCGUACGAGAGUUUUUAACUCUAGUGGCGGACGGGUGAGUAACACGUGAGAAUUUGCCUUUAGGAGGGGGACAACAAUUGGAAACGAAUGCUAAUACCCCAUAUGCUUUCGAGUGAAAUGGAUUUUAUCCGCCUAGAGAGAAGCUCGCGGCUGAUUAGCUUGUUGGUAAGGUAAGAGCUUACCAAGGACGACGAUCAGUAUCUGGUUUGUAGAGGACGAUCAGACACACUGGAACUGAGACACGGUCCAGACUCCUACGGGAGGGCAGCAGU